UACGUAGGGGGGCUAGCGUUUGUUCGGAAUUACUGGGCGUAAAGCGCACGUAGGCGGCUUUGUAAGAUUAGAGGUGAAAGCCUGGGGCUCAACUCCAGAACUGCCUUUAAGACUGCAUCGCUUGAACGUCGGAGAGGUGAGUGGAAUUCCGAGUGUAGAGGUGAAAUUCGUAGAUAUUCGGAAGAACACCAGUGGCGAAGGCGACUCACUGGACACGUAUUGACGC
rnacentral:rRNA from 1 species